AAUCAACGCUGGCGGCGUGCCUCAGACAUGCAAGUCGAACGAUUAAAGCUCUCUUCGGAGAGUGCAUAGAGUGGCGCACGGGUGAGUAACACGUAAGUAAUCUACCUUCGAGUGGGGAAUAACGUUCGGAAACGGACGCUAAUACCGCAUAAUGCAGCGGCAUCUAUGAUGACAGUUGUUAAAGAUUUAUCGCUUGAAGAGGAGCUUGCGGCAGAUUAGCUAGUUGGUAAGGUAAUGGCUUACCAAGGCGACGAUCUGUAUCCGGUCUAAGAGGACGGUCGGACACACUGACACUGAAUAACGGGUCAGACUCCUACGGGAGGCAGCAGUCGGGAAUUUUGGGCAAUGGGCGAAAGCCUGACCCAGCAACGCCGCGUGAAGGAUGAAGUUUUUCGGAAUGUAAACUUCGUAAGAAUAGGAAGAAUAAAUGACGGUACUAUUUGUAAGGUCCGGCUAACUACGUGCCAGCCGCCGCCGUAAGAC
rnacentral:rRNA from 1 species